rnacentral:sRNA from 1 species
GCUAGGUGUGGUGGUGCGCAUCUGUAAUCCCAGAAGCUCAGGAGGCUGAGGCAGGAGGAUCACAAGUUAAGGCCAGUCUCAGCAACUUAGCCAGACCCUUUUUAAAAAGAAAAAAAGGGGGUGGGGGGAUGGGGGUUCUGAGAUUGUGGCUCAGUGGUAGAGCACUUGCCUAGC